GAUGAAGAACGCAGCGAAAUGCGAUACGUAAUGUGAAUUGCAGAAUUCAGUGAAUCAUCGAAUCUUUGAACGCAUAUUGCGCUCUCUGGUAUUCCGGAGAGCAUGCUUGUUUGAGUAUCAGUAAACACCUCAACUUCCAUAUCUUUUUUGAAAUGGGAGUUGGACUUGAGUGAUCCCAACGCUUUUCCUCACCGAAAAGUGGCGGGUUACUUGAAAUGCAGGUGCAGCUGGACUUUUCUCUUAGCUAUAAGCAUAUCUAUUUAGUCUGCCUAAAAAACAGAUUAUUACCUUUGCUGCAGCUAACAUAAAGGAGAUUAGUUCUUGUGCUGACUGAUGCAGGAUUCACAAAGACGGCUUCGGCCGACUUUGUAAACUCGAUCUCAAAUCAAGUAAGACUACCCGCUGAACUUAAGCAUAUCAAUAAGCGGAGGA
rnacentral:misc_RNA from 1 species